UACGAAGGGGGCUAGCGUUGUUCGGAAUCACUGGGCGUAAAGGGCGCGUAGGUGGGCAGUUAAGUCAGCGGUGAAAUCUCCGGGCUUAACCCGGAAACUGCCAUUGAUACUAUCUGUCUUGAAUACCGUGGAGGUGAGCGGAAUAUGUCAUGUAGCGGUGAAAUGCUUAGAUAUGACAUAGAACACCAAUUGCGAAGGCAGCUCACUGGACGAAUAUUGACACUGAGGCACGAAAGCGUGGGGAGCAAACAGG
rnacentral:rRNA from 1 species